UAUGGGAAUCAAAGAUGAGCAAAAUUUAGCCACCAUGAGUGGGAAAGAUGCUUAUGCAACUGUUCUGGCCAUUUGACUUUUUUCCCCAUCCUGCUGUGCAGCGGUGAUCCCAAAAAGGGGGAAUUCUGCUUUAAGCUCAAUCUUUGGCAUUGUAUUCUUGUUUCUCUCCUGGACAUUCAUUCAUGCCUACCUUAUAGGGGGACAUAUUUUGCAAAAGGCGUGACUUCUGCCUUCUUGCUUUUGCAAAUCAUUGUUUAAAAAGCCGUGACAGUAUUCCUUCCUUUUUCCAAACAGAAAUAUCAUUUUAAUUACUUCAGCUCCACCUUUACUGGCUGGAAUUGGACGCUUCCAGACAUCUGGUACUAACUUUCUGAACCAGAUGGUAUUUAUUGCCAGAACCUCCUCCACCCCCACCCCAAAUUUCAUGCUGGUCAUGUUUGCGCUUGACAGUCCGUCACAGGGCUUGCACGUGGCGGCAGAUUUUGCUCUGCAUCCCCUGGCUAGCAUGGCUCUAAUUUUAAGAGUUCAAAUGACACCAAACCUUGUUUUAGGGAGACAUCUCUUUCCAGGGGACUAAAACAGGGAAAUCAUAACAUAAACUGAAAGUUAAGCACUUGUUUGAGUGCUUUCUUGCAUUAGGGCUUAGCCUAGGAAGGAUAUUCAUAACCAAAGAGAAUGUUUUCCAGCAGACUCUGGCAUCACAAAUCGUUGUCAUUUACUCUCCUCUGGAGGUGUACAUCCCAUGACAGAAAUGGAGGAAGGCCCCACAGCAUCAGCCAUGGUAAGGUAGGAAAGAACUAGAGAUUGGUGUGCUGGUGUUCCCAUUGCACCCCAAGCAGGAGGGAACAGCGAGGCUGUCAGGUCUGCUGCCUGUCUGCACAUGCAACUUGUAGUUUUGGAGUGAUGUUAAUACAUCAAAGGGGCGCAGAAUUAUGUACGGCUCUAGAGUUCGCCAGAUGUGAUUACACUGUUUUUCCUCUUUAUAGUCAUAUCGAAAGGAUUAGACUUUUUAAUGUACAAUAUACUGCCAAAGUACUGAGAGGCUGAAUGUCCUCUCUGUCUGGGGAGCAGCAUACAACCCUCUCUCCUGGAUCUCCAUGCUGGGGUUACCCCAUCUCCUGACAGGUACUUCCCUGCUUGCAGAUGGGAAUGCAGGUCCUUUUCCUUACGAUACUCACAAAAAUAAAUAAAUAAAUAAAUAAAAAUAAAAAUAAAUAAAUAAAAAUAAAAAUAAAUAAAUAAAAAUAAAAAUAAAUAAAAUUAAAAAUAAAAAUAAAAAUAAAAAGCAGGUUAGGUUAACCUGGCCCAAAAUGCUUCUCUGCAAAAGAUGUAAUGCUCAAAAAUAAAGCCAAAGAGUGUGUACAGCACUGGGUAUCAAAGGACUGUUUCAUCAACAACAAACAGCACAACCAGAAUGCUGGGCAAGAUUCAUGGUGUCAUGAAAGCAAGGAUGAUACUACAUGGUUACCCCAGCACAGGCUGCACAAGAGAGAGCAGAGCCAAAGCGCCACUUGGGGGACAGUGUCUGUCUGACAAGUAUCUCUGUACCCAUGCUUCUGAGGUGGUAAUGAUCUGCACUUUACAAUUCACACUUGUGUGAGUAUAAGACAGAGGGAAAGGUUAUGCACAGCGCACAGCACUGGAAAUUUGCACGCACACACACACACACGUGCCAGCAUGAUGAAUAAUACCGAGUGGCAUUGCAGAGAAUUUCUACCGGCAUGACUUUAGGAUGUUUACCAUUACUCACAGGAGGUGAAUCCGUCAACAGCUAUGCAGACUAUCCUGAGUGAGUGCCAGCAGGACUUUCAUACCCUCCCCCCCACUGUCAUGCAAGCUGUGCUUGUCACAUAUUUUAUAAGAACUGAUGUUUUUCAGCUGUUUGAGAAUUUUUGCAAUGUGCAACUCUAUCCAUUCCUGGAUUGUUUUUUCAGGAAAUCUCUCUCUGGGCAUCUAGGUCCUACCAGCACUGGUGAGAUAGCAUGUAAAAGAGAGAAAGACUGGGAUAUCCAAAAGGAGAUCUGUUUCUAAUAAGCCCAUGGAAAUUGCUAGGGUUAUGCAAACAGGUGAGGCACUUCUGUGUGCUGGGGAAUUUACCCAUUAGACAACACCAUUGGACACCUUCUUUGAAGCUUUCACAGAGCAUCAGUGGGAAUACAUUUCUGUAGCUGCCCAGUCCCUACCUGUACAUCCCAGUCAUGAUCUAACACCCACUCCUUCUGCUGUGGCACCUCCCUGCAAUGCUCCCUGUGCUGAAUUUGUUCCAUUUGUGGGUGAGAGACAUAAAUCCCAGACAGAUUCUCUCAGAGAAGUGCUGGGCCUUGAGGGACAGCAAAAAUUGUAUCAAGCACUAAAUCAAGCUUGACAGAACUUUUCUGAAGCAAAUCAAACCAAGAGCAGGCCACUGAAGUAUUGUCAAUCCCCAUCAUGGAGAACAUUCACAUAGAAUCACAGAAUCAUGGAAUGAUACAGAUUUGAACACAUGCAAGCAAUUUAUUGUUUUAUGGAUGUAAGGUGUUCCAGGGAAAAUGAAAAAUGGCCCUCUAUGUGGAAAUUUUCCAGAAGAAGCUCAGACCUAACGAUGGACUGAAAGGGAAACAACACAGGACCAAGCAGUAGGAUGAGGUGUCUAAAGCAUGUUUCUCCAGCAUAGCUUUAUUUUCAGAGACAUUCAUGCCUGUUUCACUUCUACAGCCAUGUACAGACAUCCUCAGUAAAAGCAAAAUAGGGGGAACAACUUAUGGGAUAACAGCAGCAGAGGGAAUGGAUAAAUCCUCAGCAAAGGGAUAAGCAAAACAUGGCAGAGAGGGUGAUGGAGAAGUGUGGAUGACUCUUGACAAUCGCCUGCAAGAUUUCUACAGUUUUGAAUCCCCACCCUGAGAAUGGAAAAGUGGCUUCACUGGGAACAACAUUAAUCCAAAUAACAUGACUGGCAACACCAUUUUUUUCUUAAACUAUGCUUAAGAAGACAAAGUGCAAAUACAUGCCAUGAUGGUUCUUUAGCAUAUUAGUAAAUUAUGCCAGCUUCCAAAAGAAAUGGUUAUUAGACUAGAGAACAAAACUAUGCAGAGUGUUUGAAAUUCUCCAGACCAUGUUUUCUUUAUGUUUCUAAAUGCUUUUUACUCCUCUUAUAUGUCCUUGGCAUGAAUUUUUUUUUUUUUUUCCCUAUUGGUUUAAUUUCUCUUUUUACUUGUGGCACUUUUAUUUCAGAUGUUGGAAAUUAAAAAUAAAAAUUGGAACAGCUGUAUAAACACGAGGUAUUUAAGAAAGAAAGCAACUUUCAAUGAGUGUUGACCUGCUUUGCAAAAAGUGCUUCAAAAGCAUGUAUCCGAAAGACUGUCACUUCUAUUUGAAUUUGAAUCUUGCUUUAUCAAUAAAAAUAUUAAUGCACUAUAAAAAUGGAAAUAUUAUAUAUCCUUAGUAAGAAAGUACCUUCAAAGGGUAUAUCAUCUUUAAUAAUGUUUUGAUUUAUGGCCUUCACAGCUUUGUUUUUAUUUUUAUUUCAAAUUUAUUUAAAGAAUGUCUAUAAAUAGCUAAUAUUGACUG